GUGCCAGCCGCCGCGGUAAUACGGAGGGUGCAAGCGUUAAUCGGAAUUACUGGGCGUAAAGCGUGCGUAGGCGGUUUGCUAAGUCAGAUGUGAAAGCCCCGGGCUUAACCUGGGAACGGCAUUUGAAACUGGUUAACUUGAGUUUAGUAGAGGGGAGUGGAAUUUCAGGUGUAGCGGUGAAAUGCGUAGAUAUCUGAAGGAACACCAGUGGCGAAGGCGACUCCCUGGACUAGAACUGACGCUGAGGUACGAAAGCGUGGGUAGCAAACAGGAUUAGAUACCCUGGUAGUCCACGCCCUAAACUAUGUCAACUGGUUGUUGGGGGUUUGACACUCUCAGUAACGAAGCUAACGCGUGAAGUUGACCGCCUGGGGAGUACGGCCGCAAGGUUAAAACUCAAAGGAAUUGACGGGGACCCGCACAAGCGGUGGAUUAUGUGGAUUAAUUCGAUGCAACGCGAAAAACCUUACCUACCCUUGACAUGUCCUGAAGCCUGGAGAGAUCCGGGUGUGCCCGAAAGGGAACGGGAACACAGGUGCUGCAUGGCUGUCGUCAGCUCGUGUCGUGAGAUGUUGGGUUAAGUCCCGCAACGAGCGCAACCCUUGUCAUUAGUUGCUACAUUUAGUUGGGCACUCUAAUGAGACUGCCGGUGACAAACCGGAGGAAGGUGGGGAUGACGUCAAGUCCUCAUGGCCCUUAUGGGUAGGGCUUCACACGUAAUACAAUGGCGCGUACAGAGGGUUGCCAAGCCGCGAGGUGGAGCCAAUCCCAGAAAGCGCGUCGUAGUCCGGAUUGCAGUCUGCAACUCGACUGCAUGAAGUCGGAAUCGCUAGUAAUCGCGGAUCAGCAUGUCGCGGUGAAUACGUUCCCGGGUCUUGUACACACCGCCCGUCACACCAUGGGAGCGGGUUUCACCAGAAGCCGGGUCGCCUAACCGCAAGGGGGGCGGCCGACCACGGUGAGAUUCGUGACUGGGGUGAAGUCGUAACAAGGUAACC
rnacentral:rRNA from 1 species